UACGGGGGGAGCAAGCGUUGUUCGGAUUUACUGGGCGUAAAGGGCUCGUAGGCGGCCAACUAAGUCAGACGUGAAAUCCCUCGGCUUAACCGGGGAACUGCGUCUGAUACUGGAUGGCUGGAGGUUGGGAGAGGGAUGUGGAAUUCCAGGUGUAGCGGUGAAAUGCGUAGAUAUCUGGAGGAACACCGGUGGCGAAGGCGGCGUUCUGGACUGCAACUGACACUGAGGAACGAAAGCCAGGGGAGCAAACGGG
rnacentral:rRNA from 1 species